rnacentral:misc_RNA from 1 species
GAAAUGCGAUAAGUAAUGUGAAUUGCAGAAUUCAGUGAAUCAUCGAAUCUUUGAACGCACAUUGCGCCCGCCAGUAUUCUGGCGGGCAUGCCUGUUCGAGCGUCAUUUCAACCAUCAAGCCCCCGGCUUGUGUUGGGGACCUGCGGCUGCCCGCAGGCCCUGAAAACCAGUGGCGGACUCGCUGUCACACCGAGCGUAGUAGCAUACAUCUCGCUCAGGGCGUGCUGCGGGUUCCGGCCGUUAAAAGCCUUUUUUACCCAAGGUUGACCUCGGAUCAGGUAGGAAGACCCGCUGAACUUAAGC